rnacentral:rRNA from 1 species
AGCAGCCGCGGUAAUUCCAGCUCCAAUAGCGUAUAUUAAAGUUGUUGCAGUUAAAAAGCUCGUAGUUGAAUUUCGGGAUCAAUAUAUCGGUCGUGCCUUGGUACGUACUGGUAUCAUUGGUUUCUCCUUUCUGACGAACCAUGAUGUCAUUAAUUUGGUGUUAUGGGAAGUUAGGACUGUUACUUUGAAAAAAUUAGAGUGUUUAAAGCAGGCUUUAGCUUGAAUACAUUAGCAUGGAAUAAUGAAAUAGGACGUUCGAACCUAUUUUGUUGGUUUCUAGGAUCAACGUAAUGAUUAAUAGGGAUAGUUGGGGGCAUUAGUAUUCAAUUGUCAGAGGUGAAAUUCUUGGAUUUAUUGAAGACUAACUACUGCGAAAGUAUUUGCCAAGGAUGUUUUCAUUAAUCAAGAACGAAAGUUAGGGGAUCGAAGACGAUCAGAUACCGUCGUAGUCUUAACCAUAAACUAUGCCGACUAGGGAUCGGAUGAUGUUAAUUUUUAAUGACUCAUUCGGCGCCUUACG